GACGAACGCUGGCGGCGUGCUUAACACAUGCAAGUCGAGCGGUAAGGCCCUUUCGGGGGUACACGAGCGGCGAACGGGUGAGUAACACGUGGGUGACCUGCCCUCAGCUCUGGGAUAAGCCUGGGAAACCGGGUCUAAUACUGGAUAUGACUCCAUGACGCAUGUUGGUGGGGUGGAAAGCCUUGUGCGGCUGAGGAUGGGCCCGCGGCCUAUCAGCUUGUUGGUGGGGUGAGGCCUACCAAGGCGACGACGGGUAGCCGGCCUGAGAGGGCGACCGGCCACACUGGGACUGAGACACGGCCCAGACUCCGUACGGGAGGCAGCAGUGGGGAAUCUUGCGCAAUGGGCGAAAGCCUGACGCAGCGACGCCGCGUGAGGGAUGACGGCCUGUGU
rnacentral:rRNA from 1 species